rnacentral:rRNA from 1 species
UAGUACGGGCGAGUGAAGUGGGAAAAGCUCAACUUUGAAAUCUGGUACUUUCAGUAUCCGAAUUGUAGUCUCAAGAAGUGUUUUCUGUGCCGGUCCAUGUAUGAGUCUGUUGGAACACAGCGUCAUAGAGGGUGACAACCCCGUUCAUGACAUGGAUCCCGGUGCUUUGUGAUACACUCUCGAAGAGUCGAGUUGUUUGGGAAUGCAGCUCACAUUGGGUGGUAAAUUCCAUCUAAAGCUAAAUAUUGGCGAGAGACCGAUAGCAAACAAGUACCGUGAGGGAAAGAUGAAAAGCACUUUGGAAAGAGAGUUAACAGUACGUGAAAUUGUUGAAAGGGAAACGAUUGAAGUCAGACGUGCGUGAUGCGGUUCAGCUUUAGUUCGCUAGAGUGUACUCCGUAUCUUUGCAGGCCAACAUCGGUUUUGUUAGUCGGAUAAAGGUUUGAGAAAUGUGGCACCUUCGGGUGUGUUAUAGUCUCAGACUGAAUACGAUUGAUGGGACCGAGGAACGCAGCGCGCCGCAGGGCAAAGGUUCCGACCUUUUCGCGCUUAGGAUGUUGGUGAAAUGGCUUUAAACGACCCGCU